GUCCACGCCGUAAACGAUGAGUGCUAGCUGCUGGACAUGUCUACCAUUUCAGUGGCGUCGCUAACGCAUUAAGCACUCCGCCUGGGAAGUACGGUCGCAAGACUAAAACUCAAAGGAAUUGACGGGGGCCCCGCACAAGCGGUGGAGCAUGUGGUUUAAUUCGAAGCAACGCGAAUAACCUUACCCAGGCUUUACAUCUAAGGAACCCUGCUGAAAGGCGGGGGUGCCUUCGCAAGAAGGAGCCUUAAGACAGGUGCUGCAUGGCUGUCGU
rnacentral:rRNA from 1 species